rnacentral:tRNA from 1 species
GGAGUUGUGGCUCAGAGGUAGAGCGCUCACCUUGCACCUGUGAGACCCUGGGUUUGAUCUCCAGCACCA